UGGGGUAUAGCCAAGCGGUAAGGCAAGGGACUUUGACUCCCUCAUCCCUGGUCCGAAUCCAGGUACCCCAGCCA
rnacentral:tRNA from 1 species